rnacentral:lncRNA from 1 species
GUGAGAUUUCGCAGGAUGCUCUGAGCAUCUGGCAAGCCCUCCUGGCAGGCAGGUCUGGCCCCCACCCUCCCCUCCUGCCCUCCCAGCCCCCACCCAGACCAGACUUCACUCCACGGUCAUCCUCCUUCACACCUCCACUUUGACCCUCCCUCUGGGAACUUUUGUUGUUUUACAGACACGGUUAAGGGGAUUUCUCUAGAAUUCAUAAUCUGUUAGCAGACUGCCGUUUGCAGAUGGCAUUGGAAGUUUUAGAGGGUGGAGGACAAAGUCCCGGAAGGAAGAAACCUCAGACAAAAGUCAUGAAAUCAAGUUGUUAAAUCUGUGGGAAAACUGAGGCUUAACAAGGUAAAUGUCUUACUCAAAGUCACAAGACGAAUUUUGUUACAGUUCCAAUGUUCGCUUUUCUUCUUCGUCUCCAAGCACCCGCAGCUCCUGCCAUGUAGUAAGUGAUCAUUAAAUGAUUGCUGAGAGAAGCAAUGGACAAUGGACGAACUCGUGGGCGAGGGAAAAGAAGAACCCAGGACCUCUGGGCAGGAAAGAGAGAAGGAGAGAAGGAUGCACAAGAUACGAUUUAAAACUGUGCCCCCCAAGACUGGAGGAGUCCAUCUCAGGUUGGGCAGGGAUAAAACAAGACAAAAUCAGGAGAUAAGUCUUGGCCUCAUCCAAAACAAAGGGCUUACCAAACAAGAAUCUCUUGUCUCAAGGGAGGGUUGGUCAGAAAACCUUGCCGGGGCCUUAAAGUAGGGGCCCCCAACUCAAAUACCCACAAGGACCCGGUGAAGAGUGUACAUGGGCAAAAAAGCUAUUGUGGGACAAUAGGGAGUGGUAGUCUGUGGCAAACCAGAGCAAGCACACCCCAUCAAGAGGAGCCCUCCUAAGCUUCAGUCCCUGGUUGUCGUGCAGAAACACGGGACCCAACAUUGCCAAGCACUCUGAUUUUCUACAUAAUUUUGAAAUUCUGGAUUUUAUGAGAAAUGUCCAGAUUUGCAAAUCUGGGAAAUUCAUCCCGUUAAAAAAAACAACAACAACAACAACAACAAAAACACAACAAAAACAAAGGGUGGGGCACCUGGGUGGCUCAGUCGGUUAAGUGACUGACUCUUGAUUUCAGCUCAGGUCAUGAUUUCGCGGUUUGUGGGUUCGAGCCCCACGUAGGGCUCUGCCUGUCAGCACGGAGUCCGCUUGGGAUUCUCUUUCUCCCUCUCUCUGCUGCUCUCCCAUGUGCACGUGCUCUUUCUCUCUUUCUCUCUCUCAAAAGUAAGUAAACACUUAAAAAUAAAAAAGCGAAGGUCGCAACA